GAUAUCAACCACACGAUUCAUCAUUGCUGAUCAGAACCGAGCAUUUUCAAAGCAUUGAGUAUGAAAGUGUACGUAAAGGCAUCCUCCUGGAGCUUCUCAAAUCUGCAACAGACAAGGAAGGUUGGUUAAAACUGUGACAAUGAGAUAGUAUGAUUUUCUCUAUGUUUCUUCUUUUUUGAAAAUUUCUACCAGGACAAUUGCUAAUAGAGAAUGGAACUCUAUAGAUUUUAGUUUGAAAGUGGAAUGGAAAUACGAAAACCACAUGCAAUGAUUAUGAAGUAUAUCGUGAAACUGUAUUCUCACAAUCAAAUUUCAAGAAUCAAAUUCCUGUUACUCCAUUUUGUGCUUUAAACACAGAGAAAUCGGCAGGAAACUUGAGCAAAUGAAAAUAUGAAUGACAUGGAGAAGCUAGUUAUGACUAUCUCACUCAACUUUGUACAUUCUCCAUUUUCCAUCGGACCAUUUACAAAUUUUCAAAUUGUCAUAAUGCAAAAAUAACAGACAGUUAAGAAUUAGAAAUUUUCUUACUUAUAAAACCCAAAAAACUUUGAAGGAAUUUCAAUGACUUCGUCCGUCCUAAAAGCUAGAUAUUUAGUGAAUCUUUUUUGUUGGUAUAAACAGAACAUUGUAGAUAAUGUUGUAUACAUUCUGGACUUGGUAGGCUCGCUGUAUUUUGGUUAGCAAUGGCAAGGAACAUGUAAAGGGGCCCAAUUUUUUGCCUGAAUGGUACUUCUUAUGAGAUGUACUUCUUUGCAUGCACUGGAUGCAUAUCAAUAAAAUUUCAUUACUUCAUCAAAAAAAGAGAACACCGAAGCAUUAUCUAAAGAAGGGAAUCCAAGUCCUUAGAUAGGAAAAGGCCUUUUUUCCUCUUAUAUAUUCUUUAACCUUUUAAAGUCGCAUGGAAAAGAAGAAAAAAAGACAUCGAUUUCGGCCCUAGUAUACGAAGAGCACGUUUUUUUUUAAGUUGCUUCGCUUCACCAGCGUGGAGCGAGGACCCCUCACUUAUGCUUCAUUGAUUUAUGUGUCAAAUAGAUGGCUUUUAAUAGCAUUAGUAUGAGACUAUGAUCUUAAUUCCAGAAAGCAGAAAUAUACUUCAGAAUCUUGAUAAGCCAUGUAUUUUCCAUACAUAUUCAAAGAGGAAGAAGCAAAGAUAUAUAGGAGAAGAUAAUGAUGUGCUUCUUCUCAAAUUCCUGGAGCUUCCAAACAUGGAGGAUUAAGCAGUUUCCUACGGUUAUUAGAAGUUAUCUGUUAGCAAUUUAUUAAGGUUAGUAGAAAAUAUCUAUCUUUAUCCUAACUUGGUUAUGGAAUAGUUAUGGUCAGCCUACUAUAUAGAUAAUAGAUCUUGUAAUGUAAAGGUAAUUAUUAUCCUUUAUAUUAUUAGAAGUUAUCUAUUAGCAAUUUAUUAAGGUUAGUAAAAGAUAUCUAUCUUUAUGCUAACUUGGUUAUGGAAUAGUUAUGGCCAGCCUAUUAUAUAGAUAAUACGUCUUGUAAUGUAUAUGUAUAUGGUAAUUAUUAUCCUUUAUAUGCAGACAGAUUAUUCUGUAAAAUAUGAGAUGUUUGUGUCUCUCCAUUAUUAAUAAUAUCAGCGUAGAUUCUUUCUAUUUCCAUUAUAAAAAUCUCUGCUCCUAUCAUUCAUUUGUAUCAGAGGAGUAAAAUCUGCCAUGGUGAAUGCAUCACUGACCAACACUCCCACAUCAAACUCAUCAUCCGAUAUUGACAACUAUAGCAACGAAAUUGGAGGCCAUAGAUGCUUUGGUCGCUGAUGUGGCUGUCUUAAAGGCACAAAACAGUCUGAACCAGCAUGGUGCAGGCGAUAACAGUGGAGAUCACAACAAUAAAGGGAAAGCUAAAGCACCAGAGGAUAGCAAGGUUGAUAUCACUUGGUGGCAUCAAGAAACUUCCCGUCAUUUGCAGACAAAAAUGUAAUUUUCGAAGUAAGAGAGAGGUGAUCCUCGAGGUUGGAUUCUGAAGAGAAGUUGAUUAUUCCGACCACUUUCAAAUUUAUUUCGGCAGCUAGAGUGUUCCUUCCAUGUUUCAGGGAGAUACAGUUGAUUAUUUUCAUUAUUUGUUUCUCGAACUCUCUCCAAUCCAACGAUGUCUUCGAAAUUUGAUGUACUUGGUUCUAAAAACACAGGUUCUGG
rnacentral:lncRNA from 1 species